CCCCAACUUCCUACAAAUGAUGGGACAAGUCAGAAACGACAGAGCAAUAAUAAUACAGUAACAAAAACAACUCUUACCAUCUUCAACCAUAGUCAACAUAUGAAUAGUAUGACACUAUUCACUGAAAACGACCAGAAGUCAUCACAUAUGCAUAUCUACCUAAUGGGCAAAAGAAUAGGAAUUGGGGAAGGGAUGAAUAGUACCAAGACUUUGUUUUUUUUACCAAAUCCUACACCAUCCCGGGAGCUCCGCCAACAAACACUCCCCUCAAAAAAAGAAUGAUGAUGUUGGAAUAUUAACCGAGAAAAAUGCGUAGUCAUAACUUGUGUAGGGAGUUAGUGUAUAAAAGAAAGUAUCAACUUCCAUUAUCAACGCCUACCCAAAAUCUCUUUCACCUCCAAAUUUUAUUUUCAAGCAAGUAGAAGGAAAACUUUGCAACCUUCCAAUACCAAGUUUUCAAGUUUUCGUUAAGAAGGAGAAUUUCAAAUUGGAGUACAUAUCAUAGAAAUCUCUUAUCAUUGUUUUGAGGUCCAUCGCACGGAAUUAAACUCCAAGAGAGUAUAUUGUUAUACGGAGUCGAAAGCAUAUGAGGUUGAGCUGUGAUGGAGUGGAGGGUGCUAAUUAAACUAGCCCUACUUAUAUUUCCAUUCAAUAUUCUCGGAGGUUCGUGUCUUCAUACAUGGAACCGCAUUCAGUUCCUUCCGCUGUGUAUUAAAGCAAGUGAAAUCCUUUAUGUCUCUAAGACUCUAAUAACUAGCCAGUAUAUUGUAUGGUCCCCGACUCAAGUCAUUGUGAUCGAACCAUUCUAUUCAUGUAUUCACCGUCUAAACUCUACAGACAUAAAGUUCAA